rnacentral:rRNA from 1 species
CCAGACUCCUACGGGAGGCAGCAGUGGGGAAUAUUGCACAAUGGGGGAAACCCUGAUGCAGCGACGCCGCGUGAGUGAAGAAGCGUUUCGGCGCGUAAAGCUCUGUCAGCGGGGAAGAAACACGGUUCGCGAGAGCCGCGGACGGUACCCGACCAAGAAGCCCCGGCUAACUACGUGCCAGCAGCCGCGGUAAUACGUAGGGGGCAAGCGUUGUCCGGAAUUACUGGGUGUAAAGGGAGCGUAGGCGGGCGAGAAAGUUGAAUGUUAAAUCUACCGGCUUAACUGGUAGCUGCGUUCAAAACUUCUUGUCUUGAGUGAAGUAGAGGCAGGCGGAAUUCCUAGUGUAGCGGUGAAAUGCGUAGAUAUUAGGAGGAACACCAGUGGCGAAGGCGGCCUGCUGGGCUUUAACUGACGCUGAGGCUCGAAAGCGUGGGGAGCAAACAGGAUUAGAUACCCUAGUA